AUUGAACGCUAGCGGGAUGCUUUACACCUGCAAGUCGAACGAGUGGCGGACGGGUGAGUAAUAUAUCGGAAGUGCCCAGUAGCGGGGGAUAACUACUGGAAACGGUAGCUAAUCCCGCAUCCUAUCGGCUUACCCAUAUGGGAUUAGCUAGUAGGUGCGGUAAUGGCUCACCUAGGCGCCGAUCCCUAGCUGGUCUGAGAGGAUGAUCAGCCACACUGGGACGGAUACACGGCCCAGACUCCUACGGAGGCAGCAGUGGGGAAUAUGGCACAAUGGGCGCAAGCCUGAUGCAGCCAUGCCGCGUGUAUGAAGAAGGCCCUAGGGUUGUAAAGUACUUUCAGUGGGGAGGCGUUACCGACAGAAGAAGCACCGGCUAACUCCGUGCCAGCAGCCGCGGUAAUAC
rnacentral:rRNA from 1 species